AAAAGACCUUCAACUGGUGUGAGUUCUGGAUCCUUCUUUCGCUUCGGGACUGCUGUGCAAGCGGUGUCUUCUGUCUCGUGUCUCUGUUGAGCAAAAUGGAAAUUCCUUGAAGCCUUCAGAGAGCAUUCAUCUGGCCAAGUUAAUGUUAUAUAUAUUGGUCAUGAGUUUGAUGCCCCCUUUGCCAUGAGUUUCUCGCAUCUGCUACAAGGAAGGAGAAACGCUUGCUUUAGCUGUGGUGUUGGAUCGUCAAGUGUUUGUUUUGAGCAAGGCAAUAUAUUAGGACCGCAGUGAAUAUUGCAUAUUA